GGCGGUUCGCCGCCGGCGACGUCGCGAGAAUUCCACUGAACCUUAUCAUUUAGAGGAAGGAGAAGUCGUAACAAGGUUUCCGUAGGUGAACCUGCGGAAGGAUCAUUGUCGAAACCUGCAUAGCAGAACGACCUGUGGACAUGUAACAACAAUCGGGUGUUCUAAGUAUCGGGCUCUUGUCCGAUUCCUAGGAUGCCAUGUUGGCGUGCGUCUUCGGCAAGACCCUUGGGUUUUCUAAGGACGUCGCGUCGACACAACAACAAACCCCCGGCACGGAAUGUGCCAAGGAAAUAUAAACUUAAGAAGGGCUUGUUCCAUGCUUUGCCGUUUUCGCGGUGAUUGCGUUGAAUCUUGCUUCUUUAUAAAUCAUAAACGACUCUCGGCAACGGAUAUCUCGGCUCACGCAUCGAUGAAGAACGUAGCAAAAUGCGAUACUUGGUGUGAAUUGCAGAAUCCCGUGAACCAUCGAGUUUUUGAACGCAAGUUGCGCCCGAAGCCUUUUGGCCGAGGGCACGUCUGCCUGGGCGUCACACAUCGCGUCGCCCCCAUCUCACCCCUUGACGGGGAUGUAUGAAUGGGGAGCGGAGAUUGGUCUCCCGUUCCUAAGGUGCGGUUGGCUGAAUUUUGAGUCCUCUUCGAUGGACGCACGAUUAGUGGUGGUUGACAAGACCUUCUUAUCGAGUCGUGUGUUCCUAGGAGUAAGGAAGAUCUCUUUAACGACCCUAAUGUGUCGUCUCGUGACGAUGCUCCGACUGCGACCCCAGGUCAGGCGGGACUACCCGCUGAGUUUAAGCAUAUCAAUAAG
rnacentral:rRNA from 1 species